CACUAAUAGGGAACGAGAGCUUUGUUUAGACCGUCAUGAGAUCUUUAGUUUUACCCUAUUGAUGAAGGUCGCCGCAACGGUAAUUCAAUUUAGUACGAGAGAAACCGUUGAUUCAGAUAAUUGGUUUUUGCGGCUGUCUGACCAGGCAGAGCAGCGACGCUACCAUCUGCCGGAUUAUGGCUGAACGCCUCUAAGUCAGAAUCCGUGCCGGAACGCGGCGAUGUCGCCCCGCACGUCGUAGUUGGAUACGAAUAGGCCUCCGGGUCCAGAACCUCAGCAGGCCGGCGAUGGUGUUCCGGGGAGAGACCCCCGGGGACCCGCCGGCGGAUUGCAAUGUCACCACGCGCGGGGAUAGAUCCUCUGCAGACGACUGAAAUGACCAAGCGGGUCGUGUAAGCGGUCAAGUAGCCUUGUUGCUACGAGUCGCUGAGCGUCAGCCCGAUCCUUGGCUCGAUUUGU
rnacentral:ncRNA from 1 species